rnacentral:rRNA from 1 species
UCAGGAUGAACGCUAGCUACAGGCUUAACACAUGCAAGUCGAGGGGCAGCAUAUUGGUAGCUUGCUACCAAUGAUGGCGACCGGCGCACGGGUGAGUAACGCGUAUCCAACCUUCCCCAUAGUAGGGCAUAGCCCGUAGAAAUGCGGAUUAAUACCCUAUGUUUUCCGAAGAUGACAUCUGAUUUGGAACAAAGGUUCACCGCUAUGGGAUGGGGAUGCGUCUGAUUAGGUAGUCGGCGGGGUAACGGCCCACCGAGCCGACGAUCAGUAGGGGUUCUGAGAGGAAGGUCCCCCACAUUGGAACUGAGACACGGUCCAAACUCCUACGGGAGGCAGCAGUGAGGAAUAUUGGUCAAUGGGCGCGAGCCUGAACCAGCCAAGUAGCCGUGCAGGAUGACGGCCCUAUGGGUUGUAAACUGCUUUUAUACAGGGAUAAAGUCGGGGACGUGUCCCCGUUUGCAGGUACUGUAUGAAUAAGGACCGGCUAAUUCCGUGCCAGCCGCGGC